UCUCUUUUCACCUUUACGCAGAGAAAACUGCUCCCAAUUCGGACCUCCCAAAGGAGUUUACUAGCAUCUGUUCUGUGCCUUCAACAGUUUCUACUCAAUUCCAGCUGUCUGGACAGGUCCUGUGGCAGCCUGGGGGAGAAUGGACUGAGGACUGGAACCAGAGGGAAAUCGGCUGACCUCACUUGCAUCCUAAAAUGUGGAGAUAUAACGGAAUGACUUUAAUAAAUUCUUUCAAGACUCUUUUGGACCCUGAAGCCUGUGCUGGUGCUCAGCUUCAGCGCCCAAGAAAAGUGCUCCGGUGAGGAGGAGGCAGCUGUGUGGCUGGCAUUCCGCAAGGAGGUCACAGAAUCCGAAUCCAUGCCGCAGCCUCGUCCUUCUGAGCUGGGCUGCAAGAUAGCGCUGACCGAGGAAGUCACCGCCCCGCCUGUUACCCCGGCGACAGUCCCUGCCGCCCCAGUUCCCCGCGGUCUGGCUCAUCGGACCAGCAGCCGUAAGUACCGAAAGCCUUUUUAGCAAAGUGCACACAACCAAACCACAAACCACAAGAGCCAUCCCAGCCUGGUCACUUCCUCCUGUCCUAAGCCGGCACCCAAGUGGCGCCCACCCCACCCUGCAGGCUCACCCCACCCAGCGGACCCGCGAGGCGGCUCGGGCGGUCUCUGAGUGCCGGUUCCGCCGCCGCCAGUGUGUCGCCCGCCCUGACACUCACUUC